ACAUGGAUGUGUGAGUCAAGUAAAGGACUUAGGGAUCGAGUACACAUUCUUGUGCACUGAUUAAGUCCACCACUAAAGAUCGAUAAGAAGAAUCAAAUAAGGCAGAAGGAUAAAAGUUUCUCAAAUCUGAAAAGAUGGGAGAGUACUUUAGUAUCAGUUUUGUGAUCAUCUUAAUGAUUAAGAAACCAUAUCAAAAUUAGUUCUCUAAGGAAAUCUUAGUGCAUUCUUAUGACUAAGAAGAGGAACUUGAAUUGUUGAAAUGGUUAAAUCAAGAAGAUGAGUCAUACUUCGUUCCAAUACAAGUCUUAGAGUCAUACUCCAAGAUUGUCAUUUGAGUGACAUGUCUUAAAGAAGGUUUAAAACACUUGUCAAAUGUAAGAGUAAAAGUUUUCUACUCUUGUACAUUUGAAAUUGGUAAGUUGUGAUGUUUUGGAUAAAACAAAGACCAACUUAGGCCAAUUGGGUAAAGUGUUUUUCUUGAUUAGAAUCCGCACUAUCUCUUGGAUGUUUGACAAGGGAGUCUUAUAUGUCAAGAGGACAGUGGGAGUCUUAAAGGUCUUGAAAGUCUCAAGAAAUAAUCAAGAAUAAAACCUAAAGUUCUUCACUAGCACACGACUUGAGGUUCAUAACCUAUCGUGUUGACAUAUUCUGUGCCCAUUCCAGUUAAAGUUGGUUUUGCAUAUGAGUUCUUAGAGUUCUCAAUUUGUUGCACAACAACUUGGAAGCAAUGGCAGGCCCUUGAGCUGCCAGGUGGCAAGAAGUUAAGAUUGAGUUCAAUCCAUAUGGUUUUGGAUUUGUCAUUAUCUUUGUCUUGUGAUUAUGGUUUGACAAAUUCAUAUGGGUAGGAACUCAUACACCAUAUAAAUCUAAGUGUCAUAAGGUUUCUCUCCGAUUCAUGAAAAUGAUGGUGAGGAAACGCUUUCACUAAGUAGAUUUUACGAAGAUAUCAAUUGUGUUAUUUGCAUUUUCAAAAGUCGUUAGUGGAGCGCGUGUGGUUAACCGGCACACUAACAUGGACUUGUGAGAAAUGGCAAAUGCCUAAGCAAUUGAGACCAUGAUUACGGUAUCCCUUUUCAUGGUUCUUGAAAUUGCUUAGACACACAGGUGAGCUAUCUACGGAAAGGGUGUAUGAAUCUAAAUUUCAGACUGUCCAGCUGAUUUCUGAGUACAUGUCAAAGCUAGUGGGAGCAUAAGUGUUAUGCUAAUAAUCAUCAUGUUAGUGGGAGCAUGAUAAUUAUGAUAAGUAUUGCAAGUUAGCAAUGUUAAUUAUAGAAAACAAAAGUUUCAAUUGGGAAAAAGUUGUUUUGCUAUAAUUAAGGGAGAGGAAAUUAUGCUUCAUCUCAAAUCUAUAAGCUUAGAUCGUGAGGUUUUAAUCAUUUAGUCAAGGAUAUAUAUGAAUUUCAUGUUGGAAUGGCUCAACAUAAGGAAAUUCUGUAUAUGGGUCCAUUAUUUGCGUUCUAAAAUUCGAUUAUGAUUACGGCAUCCCUUUUCAUAAUCUGAAUUAUGAGAACUUGGCAAAUUGAAAUGGAAAUAUUAUAGCAAAAGACUGGUUUAGUCUUUAUGUAAGACAUCAUGAAUCGUGUCCCAUAUGCUUCGGAUAUAGGAUCGAUUACAUGUGCUAUAUUCAUCCGUUCUAAAAUUUUCCAAAUGCCUGGGGCAUUAAGAAGGGAAAAGGUUUAGAACUGGAUAUGACUAAAAGGAUUAAACAAUUGUCGAGGACAAUCUAAGGUUUACCAAAGAUUGGUUACUCAAGGACAAUUGGAAGUAUAGUGAUAAUUCUGGAAGGACCAUAUUGACAUAAUCUGUAAGGAGGCAACUCUUGUUCAGAAGUGAUAGUCAAAAUGGAAUCUGGAAAUGUUUCAAAGUUAGAAUUUUCAAUCUGUGUAAGAUUAAGGAAACUUAAUGCAAGAAGGAUAUUUCCAAGGAGUUGAUCUCCUUUGGAAUACUCUGUAAUGAUUGUUGCCAAGUCUUUGUGACUUUGUGCAUAAUCAUUACAAGAGGAUCAAUGCAUAUAAGUUUAGAAUCUAACAGAUUUCAGUAAAUGGCAUGAAUUUGGAAUUCUUGCAUUUGCAGUAAGGAUUUGGGAGUGUGAAAAGAGAAUCAUUGAAGUUAUGUUCAAUUGAUCUAGUUCACAAAGUAAAGAUCAUAGACAAACAUAGUAUGCAUACUUGGUGUGUGGCAUGACUAGUGUUUAAGAAAACAUAGUGUACAUGCUUGGAGCAUGGGACAACUAUUGUUUUAAAUUCAAGAAUAAAGUUGAUAGCUGAAACAGUAUACAAUGAAUAAUGUGUAAUCAUAUGGUGAUAAAUAAAAGGUGUUUUAUUUAUGUUCAAAGGGUUGAUACCAUAUUGGAUUCAAUUAUUAUUGUGUUUCAUUUUGCAUGUUUUGACUUCCCGAAUAAACUGGGUUAUUCUUCCGGAAUGACUAAGUUAUUCAAACCAUCCACAGUCGGUCAUAUGUUGGAAGUAGAUAUGAAUUAAGACUGUCAUGGGUUGGCUUGUAGAGGUCUAAGGUGUUGGACAAAGGGCUACAACACUCAUGAGUGCUCAUAAGUUCUGAGUAUUGGAUUCAACCCGCGCUCAUUGGAAUCACUUCAUGGAUUUUAUCACGAGUGAUCAUGAGACGAUAAUAUCUUAUAUUCUUCAAACCUAGAGAUAUGAGUUGUUACUAUGAGUUGAUAGUACAUUGAUUGCACGAAAACGCAUUUGGUAACUCGGUGCUAUAAAACGUGCCUUUGUGUAUGAUUCAACAAGUAGUAGAACAAGCCAUAUGAGUCGAAGUUUAUCCAUUCCUUUUACCUUCGGGAUAAAAGCGAUAUCUGUGGGCCCCUCGAUGAUUUGAUGAUGACAAAUGGAAGUGCUCGGCCGGGCCAGGACUGAUUUGAUUUGUUCAAUUAGUCAGUCGUCAUAAAUCGGAAAUCGGGAAACAACAAAUGGACAGAGAGAAUGAUUAUAAUCCAUGUCUCAGUCCAUAUGAUAUCUAGAAUGGAGGAAUAUAUGAUCCCUUAUCUAAUGGACAAGUCAUUGACAAAGGUCAGAGUUCAUCUACAAGGUCAGAGUUCGACAGAAGCUUUUGAGAGCUACGAUUGCCAGUUGGUUCCUGAAGUCAUACGCAAUAAUAGUUUUAGACUUAUCCAAGUGGGAGACUGUUGGAUUAAUGUCUAAGUCCAUAACUAUAAUUGGUAAGACUUGACCCGACCCGGCAUGGUCCAUUUGGGUUGCAUACCAUCAUGCACUUGGAUAGACUAUAAUGAGAGAAAUAAGACACUUAUGGUUAUUAAUAUAUUAUAAGUUCUAGUAUAUUAAUAAUAAGAAUAAUAAGAUUAUUUAAUUAGUAUUGAUCAAGAAUUAAUCUAGGAUUAAUUAAGUGAUCAAAAGAAGACUAAUUAAAUAUAUGGGUUGAUUGUGUAAAUCAUCCAUACUUGUAUAGUGGGCUAAUGCUCCAUGGAUAAUCAAGUUGGGCUAAAACCCAUAGGAUGGUCCAUGGAUGCUCCAUGGUGUAUUUGUACCCAUGGAUCCAAGGAAAUGGAAAGCCAUGACAAUUAAGAGUUUACCCUAAUUGUGUAACUAUAUAAGCAUCUUAUUAUUGAGGAAAAAUCGGCCACUAGUGAUAGUGAAGAAAGGGCUAGCCGAUUUUGAAGAGUGUAGAAUUCUCUCAAGUCAUUCCAAGUGUUUUGAUGAUUGUGAUUCCAUUUGAGGUGUCACACUUGGGGCACUAGGCACUCAAGCUUCAUGAAGACUUUCUACAUCAAAGAGGUAUGUAUUCUAUCUUGUUAUAGUCAUUGUUUUGUAUGCUAGAUUAGGAUAAUACCUUGGAAGUUCUUAUUUGCAUGUAUAAUAGAGAAAACAUAGAUCCAAGGUAUUUAGGGUUGCAUGUACACUUAGGAGUGUUAGAAUGCUCAAAACCCAACAGUGGUAUCAGAGCCUAGGCUUGUUUUCUUGUUAUACCUGCAAUAGAAGCUGAAAAAACGAAUCUGGUGCUGUCUGGCCAUCAGACUCGGCGAGUCCAUCAGGAGACUCGACGAGUCCAUGCCUAAAAAGUGAUGAAUUCGAUCCAACUCGCCGAGUUUGUUCAUGCACUCGACGAGUUGGACCCCCAGACAGCAUAUUUUCGAGUUUUUUGGCUAGAAAUGGACUAGGAACAUUACCCUAAGUUGUUUUUGAACUUAUAAACUUGUUUUUGAUGUGGUAAUGUUCAUGCUAAUCCAUUUUCAAAGAUAAUUGUCAAUAGAUUCAUGUUUUGUAUUAGUUUAAGGUUUAGACUAAUUACAUGAAAAAGUUUGAUUUGAAUUAUCUUGUUCUUAUGAGUUGCUUAGAUUAAUAGAAAUGUUGAGUGAAAUAGUUGUUUUCAAUCCAUUUUAAUCUAAGAGUUGAGUAUAAAAUGUGUUUGUGUAACUUGUCCUCAAGUUACAUGAAGAGUCACAUUAAAGACUCAUAAAACUCAUAAAAGUUGGCAAUGGUUACAAAAUGAAGAGUCUUGUGUCAUUGAAUAAUUUUUUUUGACUCCAUAACUUGUCCUCAAGUUAUGGAAGUUCAAGAGUCACUUCAUUAAAGAAAAAUAUGUAACCAUAAUUAAAUCCAUAAGUUAUAAAAUAAAGAAAAAGUUAGUUCUUUUAUUAGUUUAAAGUCUUCCAUAACUUGUCCUCAAGUUAUGGAACUUGAAGAGUUUUUGGAUUAAAACUACUUUAAACACAUAAGUUAUGGAAUUAAUUAGUUUUGAAUAGUUUCAAAACUUGCCCUCAAGUUUUGGAAUUUGAAAAGUUUUCAAGUAUGAAUACUUUAAUUCCAAGUUAGCCCUUAGAAUUUUAAAAGUUAAAAUUCAACCCUUAUACUUUAUAAUAUUAUAAGUUAAUAAUAUAUAUAUGUAUAAGAGUAAAGUCAGUCUUACCGCUAGUACGCCUCAUUCACGAAGCCGGUCUAUAAGGUGGGUAUAAGGUUGUUGCCUAUAAAAUGGCAACUUAAUGGGUGUCCACUCUCACCCACCGCUUGCUUGACUGGUGGAGGGUCGUUAGCCGAACGGGUUUGACAGGACUAGAAUUCUCCCUUCAUUAAAAGUAUUAAUGAUAAUACUAAGUAACUAAACUCUUAAUAAUACCCAAUCUUAGUUACUUAGGAAAAAUGUGAAUAAGGUGCUAAUCCAUGAAAUUACACUUUACACUUUGUCUAAGUCGUUAGUGGAGCGUGUGUGGUUAACCGGCACACUAACUUGGACUUAACAAGGUAGGUAAAGGGUGACUUAAUAUUUAUCAUAGUAUCGAUGGAGCGUGUGUGGUUAACCGGCACAUCGAUUGAGGGGUAAUUUAUUAAGGGUACCAAGUGAUUUGCAUGGUUACUUCACACCUUGUUUUGUGAUCCUCGGCAUCCCAGUCACAAAACCUGAAGGGCACACUCGAGAUUGAAACAUGCCUUUGAAAAGUUCAAUGAAUCUCAAAGAUCUAGGAGUUUCAAAACCAAUUAAAACCUAAUAAUACAUUUCGUUUAUCUUGGUGGAAAUUGGUGAAUCGUCAUUCACCUACCUUCAAAUAUUUUAUAGCUUGGAUUACGGCAUACCUCUUCUAAGUUAUAAAAUAGUUUGUUGGGUCCUAGCCUUAAUAUUUCAUAUUGGGUGUCAUAUUAAGGACUUUAAAUCAACUAUCUUGAAUAUCUCCCAAAAGAUGUCUGGUUUAGACACCUAUGAUCUUCCCAAAUCUCUUGAAACAAGGUUUCCUAAUGAAGAUGAUGUCCCAUGGAUAUCAUACUUCUUCACCUCUUCAAAUUAUUCUCCCUAACCCACAAGUUCUUGAAAAGUUUAAGGUCACUCAGGCCCUAUUAGCAAGGCAAGGUCUAGGUGUGGUCACAUCUUGGAGAUGUAGUCACAUAUUGACAAGCCGGGAGAGUUGGGUGUCAAAGUCUUGAGAAAGUUGGUGGUUCAACCACUUUCUAAGUCACAUAGUGAGUUCCUUUGGGACACCUAUGAAACAGACUAUGACAAGACCCUUAAUGAUCUUAUCUAUUUGCUAAGAUCAACUUCCUAAAACUUUAUGGACAUUGACAAUGAUGACAUUGGAUAUCCAGUAAAGCAUUCUCUUCCCAAUGGAAAGGGAUCGGCCAUAGUCAACUCGGUUGACCAAAUGGUAAAGAGAAAAGCUAAGUCUGUGAUAGUCCCGUGUACCAUUAUCAAAGGGUCCAUAUGUUUAUAUUGCCAAAGGAAGGGGCAUUGGUUGCGAAGCUGCCAAAUUUACCUAAGGAUGUUAAAGUCAAUAAGUUUGACUCUACUUCAGGUAAAGUCCACUAUCUAACUCUGUUAAGUUUCUAUUCUGAGAUUCUUGAUACAUGAUGUGACUGGGUCACAUGGUGAUGUUUUAAGAAUCAAAGAAAAGUGAAGAAACUUAAAGAAAGAAUAUGCUGAAUCUGAUGGCGUAGAUGGAUUUCUAUCGCAUAGUUUGAAGAUCGGAUUCUUGAGCUACUUCUUAGGAGUUAUGAGAUAUUGCUUAGGAAUAGAUAACAACAAGUUUUCAUAUGGAUUGUAAGGAUAAGUUUUUCCGCAAAGUUUUAAAAUAAAAGAAAAUUUUUUUGAUUUUAUUUAUUUUAAAAUAUCCUUACAAUGGCUUUUGAGGAAAAAUUGUUGCUUAUAUGAUUCCAUUAAGAGCAAGAGUGGAAAUAUGAAAUUGAUUCUUUCAUUUGUGGUAAUGUCUAGAUUUACCAAAUAAGGAAAGAUUCUCAUCACCCAAGUUUCAAUUGGACCGGAACUUGGAAUCAUGCAAGUUGUAUAGCAUGAUGAAUGAGAACUUUCAAGUAUUGGAAAAUUAAGACUAAUUACUUGUUCACAUGGAUGUGUGAGUCAAGUGAAGGACUAAGGGAUCGAGUACACAUUCUUGUGCACUGAUUAAGUCCACCACAAAAGAUCGAUAAGAUUAUUCGUCAUAGUUUACUAAAGCUCAGUAAAUAUGAUUAUACUUACAAGCUUAAGUGUAACUCUAUGACAUUGGAAAAGGUUCCAAUGUAUGGCAGAGAGAAUAAGUAGAAUCAAAUUAGGCAGAAGGAUAAAAGUUUCUCAAAUCUGGGAAGAUGGGAGAGUACUUUAGUAUCAGUUUUUGUGAUCAUCUUAAUGAUUAAGAAACCAUAGCACAAUUAGUUCUCUAAGGAAAUCUUAGUGCAUUCUUAUGACUAAGAAGAGGAACUUGAAUUGUUGAAGUGGUUAAAUCAAGAAGAUGAGUCAUACUUCGUUCCAAUACAAGUCUUAGAGUCAUACUCCAAGAUUGUAACUUGAGUGACAUGUCUUAAAGAAGGUUUAAAACACUUGUCAAAUGUAAGAGUAAAAGUUUUCUACUCUUGUACAUUUGAAAUUGGUAAGUUGUGAUGUUUUGGAUAAAACAAAGACCAACUUAGGCCAAUUGUGUGAAGUGUUUGUCUUGAUUAGAAUCCACACUAUCUCUUGGAUAUUUGACAAGGGAGUCUUAUAGGUCAAGAGGACAGUGGGAGUCUUAAAGGUCUUGAAAGUCUCAAGAACUAAUCAAGAAUAAAACCUAAAGUUCUUCUCUAGCACACAAUUUGAGGUUUAUAAUCUAUUGUGUUGACAUAUUCUGUGCCCAUUCCAGUUAAAGUUGGUUUUGCAUAUGAGUUCUUAGAGUUCUCAAUUUGUUGCACAACAACUUGGAAGCAAUGGCAGGCCCUUGAGCUGCCAGGUGGCAAGAAGUUAAGAUUGAGUUCAAUCCAUAUGAGUUUGGAUUUGUCAUUAUCCUUGUCUUGUGACUAUGGUUUUGACAAUUCACAUGGAUAAGAACACAUACACCAGUAAAUCUAAGUGUCAUAAGGUUUCUCUCCGAUUCAUGAAAAUGAUGGUGAGGAAACACUUUCACUAAGUAGAUUUUAGCUAGAUAGCAAUUGUGAUAUUUGCAUUCUCAAAGUCGUUAGUGGAGCGUGUGUGGUUUACCGGCACACUAACCUGGACUUGUGAGAAGUGGCAAAAAGGUCUAACCAUUAUGAUUACGGCAUACCUCUUCAUAAUUGUUUAGACACACAAGUGUGCUAUCUAAGGGAAGGUGUAUGAUUUUGAUAAAGUUUUAUCAAAACAAUCUAGUAUCAGAAAUCUGAACUUUGGUAAGAAAGUCAAUGAAGUAUUGAUUUCUAGAAGUCCAGCUGAUUUCUGAGUACAUGUCAAAGCUAGUGGGAGCAUAAGUGUUAUGCUAAUAAUCAUCAUGUUAGUGGGAGCAUGAUAAUUAUGAUAAGUAUUGCAAGUUAGCAAUGUUAAUUAUAGAAAACAAAAGUUUCAAUUGGGAAAAAGUUGUUUUGCUAUAAUUAAGGGAGAGGAAAUUAUGCUUCAUCUCAAAUCUAUAAGCUUAGAUCGUGAGGUUUUAAUCAUUUAGUCAAGGAUAUAUAUGAAUUUCAUGUUGGAAUGGCUCAACAUAAGGAAAUUUUGUAUAUGGGUCCAUUAUUUGCGUUCUAAAAUUCGAUUAUGAUUACGGCAUCCCUUUUCAUAAUCUGAAUUAUGAGAACUUGGCAAAUUGAAAUGGAAAUAUUAUAGCAAAAGACUGGUUUAGUCUUUAUGUAAGACAUCAUGAAUCGUGUCCCAUAUGCUUCGGAUAUAGGAUCGAUUACAUGUGCUAUAUUCAUCCGUUCUAAAAUUUUCCAAAUGCCUGGGGCAUUAAGAAGGGAAAAGGUUUAGAACUGGAUUUGACUAAAAGGAUUAAACAAUUGUCGAGGACAAUCUAAGGUUUACCAAAGAUUGGUUGCUCAAGGACAAUUGGAAGUAUAGUGAUAAUUCUGGAAGGACCAUAUUGACAUAGUCUGUAAGGAGCCAACUCUUGUUCAGAUGGGAUAAGUCAAAAUGGAAUCUGGAAAUGUUUCAAAGUUAGAAUUUUCAAUCUGUGUAAGAUUAAGGAAACUUAAUGCAAGAAGGAUGUUUCCAAGGAGUUGAUCUCCUUUGGAAUGCUCUGUAGUGAUUGUUGUCAAGUCUUUUUGAAUUUGUGCAUAAUCAUUAUAAGAAGAUCAAUGAAUAUAAGUUUAGA
rnacentral:lncRNA from 1 species